UGAUGUCGGGGGCAUUGUGCAACUUCAUAAGCUCCUGUUUUCUCACAACAUCUGCUUGUCAACCUCGCUUUCAACUCAACGCUGCCGACGUCAAAAGUGGACCCAAAACAGGGGGAUUGAAAAAAAAGAGGGAUGACUCGAGCACAGAGUACCGGCGAGAUUCCACAGGGGCCUUACCGGCUGAUGAGAGAGAGAGAACAAAGCCAGGCGUGAACGACAGAAGAGAAAUAAAGGAGAAGAAAAGACAGGAGAACAAAAACACUGUCGGCCCUAAAUGUUCCUCCUGCACCUGACAGACAGGCAGACUGACACGUCCAUCCAUUCCCCCAGCCUGCCUUUGUUGCUAUAGAGACUGUUCCUGCUUUGACUCCAGCCUGAUUAAAGUCCACUGUUGGGCUAAGCGUGUGUCUGCUUUCACACAUACGGUUUUAGUCUAAUGAAAAAUAAACUCUUUAUGAUAACCCACAGAGACGACACACAAACUCAUGGGAAUAUAGGAGAACACUGUAUAUAUCUAAAACCACAGGGAAACCCUACACUAAUGCAGAAAGUUAUCUACUUUAUAUCCAAUACACAUUAAUAGUGUUACUGUUCUGAGACAACAAAGUUAACACACAAAAAGACCAUCAGGUCUAAAGUAGACAAACAUUUUUUAAGAGAGUGUGUGUGUGUACUUUAAAGUGGACUACCUGCACAGCCUGCCAAAAGUGUCUUAGCGCUGAAGGCUCUUUGAGGCCGUAUCAGACUCUUCAAUCGUUUAAUAAUCCUGGCUGGCGUGGAGCGGUGAGCGGCUGAGGCUGCCUUUGAAGUGUGUGUGUGAGGAACAGUGGAAGUGUAUCUGAAGGCAGGAGCAUGCACCGCUUACCAGAACUUAAUUAACAAUCUG